UGGUAUAAAUGUACAAUUUGUUUUGUGAUAGUUAAAAAAACAGCUUCAAUAAGUUGUUAUUAUGGAGCCAUUAUUUCAAGAAAGUUAUGGUUUAAUUGAAAAGGCAAAUAUAUCUACAGAUACCCGCUGCACAAAUAUGAAGCUUUGAUUUGAAAGAUGCUGUUCCUUAAACAAUGCUGGAAAUUGGACAAUGCAGGGGACAAAAUUUACAAUAUCACUUGUUUUUUAGUAGG